GCCGCCGCGGUAAUACGGAAGAUGCGAGCGUUAUCCGGAUUUAUUGGGUUUAAAGGGAGCGUAGGCGGGCUGUUAAGUCAGCGGUCAAAUGUCAGGGCCCAACCUUGGCAUGCCGUUGAUACUGGCGGCCUUGAGUUCACACAAGGAAGGUGGAAUUCGUCGUGUAGCGGUGAAAUGCUUAGAUAUGACGAAGAACUCCGAUUGCGAAGGCAGCCUUCUGGGGUGUUACUGACGCUGAGGCUCGAAAGUGCGGGAAUCAAACAGGAUUAGAUACCCC
rnacentral:rRNA from 1 species